UGAACGCUGGCGGUAGGCCUACCACAUGCAAGUCGAACGGCAGCACAGUAAGAGCUUGCUCUUACGGGUGGCGAGUGGCGGACGGGUGAGGAAUACAUCGGAAUCUACUUUUUCGUGGGGGAUAACGUAGGGAAACUUACGCUAAUACCGCAUACGACCUACGGGUGAAAGCAGGGGAUCUUCGGACCUUGCGCGAUUGAAUGAGCCGAUGUCGGAUUAGCUAGUUGGCGGGGUAAAGGCCCACCAAGGCGACGAUCCGUAGCUGGUCUGAGAGGAUGAUCAGCCACACUGGAACUGAGACACGGUCCAGACUCCUACGGGAGGCAGCAGUGGGGAAUAUUGGACAAUGGGCGCAAGCCUGAUCCAGCCAUACCGCGUGGGUGAAGAAGGCCUUCGGGUUGUGAAGCCCUUUUGUUGGGAAAGAAAAGCAGCAGGUUAAUACCCCGCUGUUCUGACGGUACCCAAAGAAUAAGCACCGGCUAACUUCGUG
rnacentral:rRNA from 1 species